UACAGAGGUCUCGAGCGUUGUUCGGAUUCAUUGGGCGUAAAGGGCGCGUAGGCGGCGGGGUAAGUCUGGUGUGAAAUCUCGGAGCUCAACUCCGAAAUUGCACUGGAUACUGCUCUGCUAGAGGGCUGGAGAGGAGAUCGGAAUUCACGGUGUAGCAGUGAAAUGCGUAGAUAUCUGGAGGAACACCGGUGGCGAAGGCGGCAUCCUGGACCAAUAUUGACGCUGAGGAGCGAAAGCUAGGGGAGCAAACGGG
rnacentral:rRNA from 1 species